UCUACAUACAAACAACAACAGCACUAUCAAAUUCCGCCAGCAGCAAUGAGCCAUUACCUGUUACAACAACUAUCAGUCUUGAGACCACUGGAGACGUGGGCUGCGAUAUAGUCGAUGCAUCAUCUCAAAAUGUGAAAAUAAAAUACUAUGUGGGAAACAAGAAGCAUAAUAGCUCCCUGACAGUACCGAAGAACACCAUUGCUAUCUUCACCUGCCCCAAAGGAAUGCACUUCAGCGAGGAGCAUGAAAGCUUGAGCGCAGUUACCUCGGUUUGCCAAGACUCCGGUGUUUGGGAUAACGAUACUCCAAUUUGCGAAUUUCCAUCUACUCGAAGUACUGGCGAAGAUACUGACACAUCGCUUACCCCAAUAAUAGCUUCAGUAUGUGGUGCAAUCGUCAUAAUAGCCAUAAUACUAUUUAUCUUUCUACGUUGGCGUCGGGGACUGACUUCGAAAGAAUGCCCUACAACAGGCGGUGGGGGCAUUUAUGAUGAAGCGAUAGAAGGAAGAGUUGCAACAACCCAAGUGCCCGACGGCGAAGUCGGAGCAGAGAUGACGGACAAUAACGCCUAUUCCCUAGGUGGAAGCGCUCUACCUGAACCGGAGCCUGCUCUGUAUUCUGAUAUCAAUGAAUUGAAGGAGACUGGCAUGGAUGAAUAUGAGGCCGUGGAAAACACAUAUGCAGAUCUGUCAAAGGACGCAGCAUCGGAUACCUGCAGCAAUGAAUAUGUUCACUGCACUCCACAGCCACAAUAGGGAACCACAAUCAACCUUUUAAAAGUAUUCGAGAAUCACAUUUCAACAUUCUGUACUACACAGCGACACCCGCGUUCUGCACGCUACUCUAGCGAACACUUUUGAACACAUAAUAUGAUUUCCUUUCGUCUGUCAUCGAAAUCAUCAUUUUCCAUUCUGAAUCGUGUCAUUGAUUCUUGGUCACCCUAUUCCAAUAAUUUUAACGUCAUUGGGUGUGUUUUAAUAUAAGUCACUUUCCACUGUCGUCUCGUUAGCUUUUAGUGACUAUUGGCCAUGUCACCUGAUCACACACGAAAGGUCUACUAUCUUACCAUUUCUCUAAUGUAUAUUUUUCGACACUUCGUCACCCACUGUUUCUGUUCACUCCAUCAUCAUCAUCAAUUGAACCCCUCGAUAGGCACAUGGCCUUUGGGUCAUUUCAUAAUAAUGAUAAUAAUAAUAAUAAUACUCAAAAUGCCAACAGAUGCUGUCAAUUCAAUUACUGUCUCUCCAAGCUCCAACAUUCAGGAGUAAACUUAAAAAUGUGUAUAACGCACUCAGCUCCUUUCUAAACAUCUAAGCAUGUCAUAGGUUUCAGUAAAAAAUGCAUAGUUCAUAUGCCAUGGCAUUUAUGAGGCACAUUUAUGUAUCUUGGUAUAGUUUUUCUGUCUGGCCCCCUCAAAAAAUUGUCUUUCGGGCUCCCAAAUCUCCCUUCUCACCACAUUUCAAUUGUUCCAUUACUAAUGAUUUUGCCAGGUUAACCAAAACGAUAGAAUUUUUCAUUUCAUUUUCAUUUCACAAGAGAGAGCUUGGAAGCUGUGUUUCAACACCGAGUGUUCGCGUAUUUACUAUCAUCACGUAACUGUUUUCAUUUCACCAUUUUCAAAGGAAAUUACCUAUUCAAACGUCUACAAUGUAAUACAAGUAUUGUCACAUUUUUCAUUCCAUGAGCAGAAGAAAGCAUUUUUUCCAAUUUCAAUCAAGAUAAUUGUUUCAAGACCGUUGUUCCAACGAGGCUGUACAGUUUUUCAAUACCAGCAAUAGCCAUUUUCCGUUUUCACUGCUUCCAAUCUCGACUGUCAGACAUAUACCCAUACUUUAUCUUUCUACACCAAUAACUGUCUUUAGAACUUUUACUUUUUUAGGCGCCUUAGAUUGGACAAAACCAAUUGCAAAAACAUUGCCCGUUUGCAUCUUUCCCCUCGUAACAAUAAAGACAUUGUAUUUGCAUUGCCUUUAUUUCGCGUGAUGCCUUGGUCGCCAUGACCCUUUCUUUUCAUUUGCCUGCAAACUCCUGCGGCGGACUCUGCACAUGUAGGGGUAUCGCUUGUAUCCAGUAUAUGUAUUAUGCUAUGCAUAAGAAUGACCACCGUUUAUUGUUUACCACAUUGUUCCAUGAUGUGUGCAAGCUCCACUACAGCCACUUCAU